GACAGCAGUCGCCGCGGUAAGACAGAGGAUGCAAGCGUUAAUCGGAUUUACUGGGCGUAAAGCGUGCGUAGGCGGCUUUUUAAGUCGGAUGUGAAAUCCCUGAGCUUAACUUAGGAAUUGCAUUCGAUACUGGGAAGCUAGAGUAUGGGAGAGGAUGGUAGAAUUCCAGGUGUAGCGGUGAAAUGCGUAGAGAUCUGGAGGAAUACCGAUGGCGAAGGCAGCCAUCUGGCCUAAUACUGACGCUGAGGUACGAAAGCAUGGGGAGCAAACAGGAUUAGAUACCCGGGUAGUCCCUGUCUCUUAUAC
rnacentral:rRNA from 1 species